AACGAACGCUGGCGGCAGGCUUAACACAUGCAAGUCGAACGCCCCGCAAGGGGAGUGGCAGACGGGUGAGUAACGCGUGGGAAUCUACCCAACCCUACGGAACAACUCCGGGAAACUGGAGCUAAUACCGUAUACGCCCUACGGGGGAAAGAUUUAUCGGGGAUGGAUGAGCCCGCGUUGGAUUAGCUAGUUGGUGGGGUAAAGGCCUACCAAGGCGACGAUCCAUAGCUGGUCUGAGAGGAUGAUCAGCCACAUUGGGACUGAGACACGGCCCAAACUCCUACGGGAGGCAGCAGUGGGGAAUAUUGGACAAUGGGCGCAAGCCUGAUCCAGCCAUGCCGCGUGAGUGAUGAAGGUCUUAGGAUUGUAAAGCUCUUUCACCGGUGAAGAUAAUGACGGUAACCGGAGAAGAAGCCCCGGCUAACUUCGUGCCAGCAGCCGCCGCUG
rnacentral:rRNA from 1 species